rnacentral:rRNA from 1 species
GAUGAACGCUGGCGGCGUGCCUAAUACAUGCAAGUCGAGCGAACAGACGAGGAGCUUGCUCCUCUGACGUUAGCGGCGGACGGGUGAGUAACACGUGGAUAACCUACCUAUAAGACUGGGAUAACUUCGGGAAACCGGAGCUAAUACCGGAUAAUAUAUUGAACCGCAUGGUUCAAUAGUGAAAGACAGUUUUGCUGUCACGUAUAGAUGGAUCCGCGCCGCAUUAGCUAGUUGGUAAGGUAACGGCUUACCAAGGCAACGAUGCGUAGCCGACCUGAGAGGGUGAUCAGCCACACUGGAACUGUGACACGGUCCAGCCUCCUACGGGAGGCAGCAGUAGGGAAUCUUCCGCAAUGGGCGAAAGCCUGACGGAGCAACGCCGCGUGAGUGAUGAAGGCCUUCGGAUCGUAAAACUCUGUUAUUAGGGAAGAACAAAUGUGUAAGUAACUAUGCACGUCUUGACGGUACCUAAUCAGAAAGCCACGGCUAACUACGUG